ensembl:lncRNA
GCCAGUUCAAGUACAUCUUUAGGAAGCUAAUGGUCCGGUGUGGGGUUGUUAAACCAUGCAGAGGCAAUAUGACGGCACAGGAUGACACAGAGUCCCUACCAGCUGUCAUCGACACCUCUACAAGCCUGUCCAAUAUGUCCUCUGCAGCAGGAGAUCUUCUAUCCCUGUUUGCUGACAUUCCUGCCCUAGUACAUGACCACAGCUACCUUCCCGUCCGCUUCGAUGGUCUUGUGGACAACGCUCUCGUGUACAUUUCAGGAUUUGUUGUGCGACGGGCUCUGAAGAAGCUGUUGUGUGAUGUCUGCCGUGCCAGCCUGGUGACAGAUGCUGCAUCUGCCAUCAAGGACCAGAGCUACCACCUGUUGACUUAAAAAACAAUGGCGGUAUGGUGAUUCCAUCAGAGGGGACCGUGAGGGUCGUCAGGGCAGCAGAGUGGGUCAUCAGGCAGUACCAGACGAUCACAGCCCAUCAAACUGCUUGAGGUUGUUUACAUUGUACGAAAAAGGAUCGGUUCAGAGGAUGUUUGUGUUAGGGGAGCACAUCGGCGAGACGCAGUAUGGGAUAGACAGCCACCACCAUAUGCUGUUAAAAUUUAUUGUGUCCCUGUUUUUUAAGUUAAGGCUGCACCACAUCGCCAGAAUUACAAACCUCAGCUUACAGAGCAACAACAUGUGACAGAAACUUAAUAAAACUGUCCUUUUCAAAGGGCAUUAGCCCAAGGUAUGUGUUUUCAAGGUACUGUCCUCUUUCACUUCAACAGUUGUGUGGUUCUCUCUACAGCAUUUCUUUUUUGGAUAUUUGUAAAGGGGAAUCAUGACUUUUUUUGCACACAGCUUCACAAGACCUGGUGCUAGGUCUCAGUUGUGUUUCUAAAGUCAUAUCAAGUGACCUAGAGGGCUGAAAUGUGGUCAGUUCAGAGAUGCUUGUUAUCCGACAGAAAGAAAAAAACAUGUAAUUAAAAUUAUUUUAUCAGAAUAGUAAUUUUAUUAUAAUAGUACAAGUGUAUAUAUGUCAUGUUCCCAUUCUGUACACUGAGUUUUAGUAGCCAAUGUAUUGAUUUAACAUAAAUACCUUGUGUUUGUAUAUUCAUUACACCUAUCUGGUUCUGUUCAAAUAUAUUUUCAUAUGGAGGUCCAUGGUUUUAAUGGUUCAUAUGUAUGCAGUGUCAUAAAUUCCUCUCUGACGUUUAAAACAAACCAAACCGUUUGAAAAUCGGUAGAAAAUUUUGCAAGUUAUGAUUAUUUAAAAAGUACAUGCACCAUAAAACAAUGUUACAAGUGAG